CUCCAGUUUUUUUUGUAUCCACUGAUUGCACCACUGUUGUGUGUCAGUUGAGUGGUGCCUGCCCCGAAUAAUAGUUGGGCACAGCUGAUCAAAUCUGUGUUGCAUUCUUGUUGAACACAUGAAACAGCCUGUGAGAUACACCCUGGGAGACAUGUGGAGCCCUGAGACUCUGGGUUAUAACCAAAGACAGGGGCCAGAGUAUCCUGGCUCAGCUACUACUACUACUACUGGCAGCUGCAGUGACUCAGACCUUUCAAAGGAACACUUAGCUGCCAUUUACGAGUCAUCUGAAGCUAAGACGUGCUCGUCUUAAAGACAGAGAGAUGGAGCAGUUCUUCUACAUUCAGCCACAAGAGCCUGGUGUUGGUUUAACCUCACUGAUUGAGGGCAGAGAGUGUUUUCUUAUGUUCAGUAUCUCUGUCAGACCUUUGGCUCACAUCUUGGACACAAACAAAGAGGGCAACGAAGAAGUGAGGCUAAAAGAGGAUGGUAUGGUGGCAGUGGACGGAUAGAGGAGAAUCAGACAUUGAAAUGGCUGACUAACCAGCUCUCCUGCCGCAGUCGUCUGCCGUAGGAAUAUAGAUAGAGAGAGAGAAACACAAGAGAGUGAACAGAAAGAGGUAUGGAGUCCAUUAGGACUUUAGCAGAGCAGGGAAGAUUGAAUAAUCCUGGCAAACGUUCACUCAGCUUCCCUCCUUUUCCUCUGUACUUUCCAACUGGGUGCCAUCCACACAACCUUUAAACUCUGUCUUAGUUACCAGGACCCAUAAUCCAUGCAAAUAAAGAAUUUCUAACUAGAAAGGCACCCCACCCUUUAAUGUGUUGGCUUGCGACACCACAACCUGUGCAUGGUUGAAUGGCCCAUUCAAGCCCAGAGCAUGAGAUCAUGAAUACAUUGGUUACUGAUCUUCAUUAUUCACAAUCAGUAAAAGCAGUGAAUGGCUAUAACACAGGAUUGUGUUGUGUAAAGGUUAAUCUAUUUGGGGUUCUGCUGUCUGGUUUUGUUACUGACCUUAUUCCAGUGUACAGUCAAUUUACAUUGCACA